GAUGAACGCUGGCGGCGUGCUUAACACAUGCAAGUCGAACGGAAAGGCUCCUGCUUGCCGGGGUACUCGAGUGGCGAACGGGUGAGUAACACGUGGGUGAUCUGCCCUGCACUUCGGGAUAAGCCUGGGAAACUGGGUCUAAUACCGGAUAGGACCACAUUUUGGAUGGUGUGGUGGAAAGUUUUUCGGUGUGGGAUGAGCUCGCGGCCUAUCAGCUUGUUGGUGGGGUAAUGGCCUACCAAGGCGUCGACGGGUAGCCGGCCUGAGAGGGUGUACGGCCACAUUGGGACUGAGAUACGGCCCAGACUCCUACGGGAGGCAGAAGUGGGGAAUAUUGCACAAUGGGCGCAAGCCUGAUGCAGCGACGCCGCGUGGGGGAUGACGGCCUUCGGGUUGUAAACUCCUUUCGCUAGGGACGAAGCGCAAGUGACGGUACCUGGAGAAGAAGCACCGGCUAACUACGUG
rnacentral:rRNA from 1 species